rnacentral:misc_RNA from 1 species
GCAGUGGCGCCCGAACAGGGACUUGA